CCCACCCCCAAAGUCCGGCACUCCCACCCCCAAAGUCCGGCACUCCCACCCCCAAAGUCCCGGCACCUCCACUCCCCAGUCCCACCAUUUCCACUCCCCAGUCCCAGCAGCACGUGGGGCUGUGUGUGCUGAGCAGCGUUUCCCCACCACGGCCCGGCCGCGAUGAGGAAUUGAGGCGGAGGCGCCGUCAGGCCGUGAUGAAUUCGCAGCCGCGGCAGGAUGAAAAGUGACUGAGCACAAGAAUCAGGAUUCUUCUGUCAAGCUGAUUCUUUCAGGAAAG
rnacentral:lncRNA from 12 species